GAAAUUUUGCCUUUUUAUCUAUGCAAGUCGAACGGAUAGGCCACAGCUUGCUGUGGUACUCGAGUGGCGAACGGGUGAGUAACACGUGGGUGAUCUGCCCUGUACUUCGGGAUAAGCUUGGGAAACUGGGUCUAAUACCGGAUAGGAAUCACAUGUGGGUGUGUGGUUGGAAAGCUUUUGCGGUAUGGGAUGAGCUCGCGGCCUAUCAGCUUGUUGGUGGGGUAAUGGCCUACCAAGGCGUCGACGGGUAGCCGGCCUGAGAGGGUGUACGGCCACAUUGGGACUGAGAUACGGCCCAGACUCCUACGGGAGGCAGCAGUGGGGAAUAUUGCACAAUGGGCGCAAGCCUGAUGCAGCGACGCCGCGUGGGGGAUGACGGCCUUCGGGUUGUAAACUCCUUUCGUCAGGGACGAAGCGAAAGUGACGGUACCUGGAUAAGAAGCACCGGCUAACUACGUGCCAGCAGCCGCGGUAAUACGUAGGGUGCGAGCGUUGUCCGGAAUUACUGGGCGUAAAGAGCUCGUAGGUGGUUUGUCGCGUCGUUUGUGUAAGUCCACGGCUUAACUGUGGGAUGGCAGGCGAUACGGGCAUAACUUGAGUGCUGUAGGGGAGACUGGAAUUCCUGGUGUAGCGGUGAAAUGCGCAGAUAUCAGGAGGAACACCGAUGGCGAAGGCAGGUCUCUGGGCAGUAACUGACGCUGAGGAGCGAAAGCAUGGGUAGCGAACAGGAUUAGAUACCCUGGUAGUCCAUGCCGUAAACGGUGGGCGCUAGGUGUGAGUCCCUUCCACGGGGUUCGUGCCGUAGCUAACGCAUUAAGCGCCCCGCCUGGGGAGUACGGCCGCAAGGCUAAAACUCAGAGGAAUUGACGGGGGCCCGCACAAGCGGCGGAGCAUGUGGAUUAAUUCGAUGCAACGCGAAGAACCUUACCUGGGCUUGACAUACACCAGAUCGGCGCAGAGAUGCGUUUUCCCUUGUGGUUGGUGUACAGGUGGUGCAUGGUUGUCGUCAGCUCGUGUCGUGAGAUGUUGGGUUAAGUCCCGCAACGAGCGCAACCCUUGUCUUAUGUUGCCAGCACGUGAUGGUGGGGACUCAUGAAAGACUGCCCGGGUUAACUCCGAAGAAAGGUGGGGAUGACGUCAAAUCAUCAUGCCCCUUAUGUCCAGGGCUU
rnacentral:rRNA from 1 species